AACGAACGCUGGCGGCGUGGAUAAGACAUGCAAGUCGAGCGAAAGUCUGUGGGUAGCAAUAUUUGCAGAUUUUAGCGGCGGAAGGGUGCGUAACACGUGGGUAAUUUACCAUAAAGACCGGAAUAACUUGCUGAAAGGCGAGCUAAUACUGGAUGUGACUGCGGGAAGGCCUCUUCCUGCUGUCAAAGCUGGGGACCGAAAGGCCUGGCACUUUUUGAUAAGCCCGCGGCCUAUCAGCUAGUUGGCGGGGUAACGGCCCACCAAGGCUAAGACGGGUAGCUGGUCUGAGAGGACGACCAGCCACACUGGAACUGAGACACGGUCCAGACACCUACGGGUGGCAGCGACGUCGAAGUUUAACUUUUCAACUAAGUGGGAACGAAACGUCCGUAGUAGUA
rnacentral:rRNA from 1 species